AAAAAGACAAACCUGGUUUUCGUGCCCAACGUUUGACCGUCCGUCUUAUUUGAAAAAAUUAUGAAAAAAAUUAAAAAGACAAGUCACGCAUAAAAUAUUAAUCAUGUUUUAUCAUCUAACAACAAUGAAAAUUCGAAUUAUAAAAAAAAUUCAUAUAAAACAGAUAGUCAAAGUUGGACACGAAAACCCAGGGUUUGCCUUUUU
rnacentral:pre_miRNA from 1 species